rnacentral:rRNA from 1 species
GUCCACGCCCUAAACGAUGUCGACUGGUUGUUGGGGGUUUGACACUCUCAGUAACGAAGCUAACGCGUGAAGUCGACCGCCUGGGGAGUACGGCCGCAAAGGUUAAAACUCAAAGGAAUUGACGGGGACCCGCACAAGCGGUGGAUUAUGUGGAUUAAUUCGAUGCAACGCGAAAAAACCUUACCUACCCUUGACAUGUCCGAGAGCCCGAAGAGAUUUGGGUGUGCCCGAAAGGGAAUCGGAACACAGGUGCUGCAUGGCUGUCGU